rnacentral:lncRNA from 1 species
UAAGUUUCGCACCAAUAAUAACAAUACUAAAUUAUAACUAAGUAAACAACAAAUAAAGUAAAUCGCAUCAAAGUAAAGCAUACACCAUAACAUAAUAUCAUAACAUAAUAUCAUAGUUCCAAAUCAAUUCCAAUAUCACAACAAAAUUAGUAUCAACAUCAUCAAAUGAGUACCAUCAUCUCAAUUAUACAAACUAGAUCAAAU